UUCUCAUCAAAGAGUGUUCUAUAGGGAAGAGAUAAAACCUAAACAGUCCCGGAAGCUGAGACAAGAAACUGAAAAAAAAAGGAAAGUGAGCAACAAGAUAAUGUAAGUCACAACUGAGCCAAUUAAGGAGCAGGAGAUGCAGCAGCAUGUCCCAAACAAAACUGAUUGGAGGUCAAGUGUGGACAACCAGAGCAAGUUCUUGCACAGCUAAUGUAUCCCCAGGUGUGAACUGAGUAACAUGAAGAAAGGCAUCCUCCUGCCACCUCCUGAAUCAGUAGAAAAAGACAAAAGCUUUUGAUGGGAUUAUGCUGGAGUCCAUGUCAUGGAACCAAACUGGAAAUUUUCUGGCAUGAUUUUAGGCGUUUUGCAUGAACUCUAAUUCAUUGAAAUGUAACAACCUUAUAAGGUUCCAGGUGUGUCUUAGUUUUGAAGCUUCACAGCAGCUGAGUAGUAGUGUGUGGUGAGCAUAACAAAUACCUAAAACUUUCAGGAAGGUGAAUCCUUCUCUCUGACCGUGGGAACUAUGGUCUGAAGAUGAAUGCCAAUCGCAAGAUAAUUCAAAUAUUGAAAUUAUGAAACAAUGACUUCCAAAUCAGCUAUGAUAAUGUGAUCUACAAGCUAAGGUCUAAUAUCCUCAAAACAAAUGGAAAGACAGAACAUCUUAGCAGGGAAAUAAAAGAUUCAACUGGCUCAUGGUUUGUACCGGGGGAACCAAGCCCAUGGUUGGGAUCCAGGGGUCCCUCCAGUCUCCUGUUCCAUGGUCGCACACACCUUGAGGGCACCCACACGGUUUGAUCGUCUCCUUAUAUUGCUGCUGGCAGACUCGUGACGGGGUUUCUCAUUCAUCUGGGUGUACAAGAAGCAUGGUGCCAGCAUCUGCUCAGCUUCUGAUGAGGGCUCUGGGAAGCUUUUACUCAUGGAGGAAGGCAAGGGGAACCAGCAUGUCACAUGAUGAGAAAGGAAGCAUGAGAGAGAGGUGCCAGACUCUUCAACAACCAGAAGAGAAAGUCAGAGAGAAUCAAAGCAUGUGAAGAGAGACCUCACGCAAGGAGGUCUAGGAGCCUAGAGUGAUCUUCAGCCAACAGUCAAAAAGAUAACUGGGACAACCACAAGGAACUGACUUCUAUAAGAGAAAUGAGCCUGGAAAAGGACUCCAAGCUUCAGAUGAAAAUGUAGUUGGCUGACACUUUGAUUUUAGUCUUGUGAAACCCUAAGCAGAGAAUCCAAGUAAGUCCCCCUGAACUUCUCACCUAAAGAACAAUGAGUUAAUAAAUAAG
rnacentral:lncRNA from 1 species